rnacentral:rRNA from 1 species
UACGAAGGGGGCUAGCGUUGCUCGGAAUCACUGGGCGUAAAGAGCGUGUAGGCGGCUCGAUAAGUCUGCUGUGAAAGUCCAGGGCUCAACCCUGGAAGGCCGGUGGAAACUGUCGGGCUAGAGUCCGGAAGAGGCGAGUGGAAUUCCCGGUGUAGCGGUGAAAUGCGCAGAUAUCGGGAGGAACACCAAUGGCGAAGGCAGCUCGCUGGGACGGUACUGACGCUGAGACGCGAAAGCGUGGGGAGCAAACAGGG